UACAGAGGGUGCAAGCGUUGUUCGGAAUUAUUGGGCGUAAAGCGCGUGUAGGCGGCUUUGCAAGUCGGGUGUGAAAGCCCUCAGCUUAACUGAGGAAGUGCGCCCGAAACUGCAUUGCUUGAGUACCGGAGAGGAUGGCGGAAUUCCCGAAGUAGAGGUGAAAUUCGUAGAUAUCGGGAGGAACACCGGUGGCGAAGGCGGCCAUCUGGACGAAUACUGACGCUGAGACGCGAAAGCGUGGGUAGCAAACAGG
rnacentral:rRNA from 1 species